ensembl:misc_RNA
UCUGGUAGCAAAAACAAGAUCUCUCUCCACGUGUCAGGCAUAAUUUAGGCAGCCCCAGUGCAAGCUUUCCCACAUUGCCCUGACAGUGAUCUCAGCCCUCAUCUGUAAAAUCAUUUUCUCAGAGGAGGUGAGGUUGUCUAGUCUGCAUGAUACCUCAGGUCUUGAGCUUCU